GUAAUAGUACUACCCCGGUAGUCCACGCCCGGUAAACCGGAUGGAUGCUACGACCGGUUGGGCAGCGUUGUCGUGCUCAGUGGCGCAGCUAACGUCAUUAAGCAUCCCGCCUGGGGAGUACGGUCGCAAGAUUAAAAACUCAAAGGAAUUGACGGGGGCCCGCACAAGCGGUGGAGCAUUGUGGUUCAAUUCGACGCAACGCGAAGAACCUUACCAGCUUUUGACAUGUCCGGUAUGGGCACCAGAGAUGGAGCCCUUCAGUUCGGCUGGCCGGAACACAGGUGCUGCAUGGCUGUCGUCAGCUCGUGUCGUGAGAUGUUGGGUUAAGUCCUGCAACG
rnacentral:rRNA from 1 species